GAUGAACGCUGGCGGCGUGCCUAACACAUGCAAGUCGAACGGAGAUUACGGACGGAAGUUUUCGGAUGGAAGACUGUAAUUCUUAGUGGCGGACGGGUGAGUAACGCGUGGGCAACCUGCCCUAUACAGGGGGAUAGCAGCUGGAAACGGCUGGUAAGACCGCAUAUGUCGGCGAGACCGCAUGGUUUUGCCGGGAAAUGAGCAAUCAGGUAUAGGAUGGGCCCGCGUCCGAUUAGCCAGUUGGCAGGGUAAAAGCCUACCAAAGCAACGAUCGGUAGCCGGACUGAGAGGUCGGACGGCCACAUUGGGACUGAGACACGGACCAAACUCCUACGGGAGGCAGCAGUGGGGGAUAUUGCACAAUGGAGGAAACUCUGAUGCAGCGACGCCGCGUGAGUGAAGAAGUAGUUCGGUAUGUAAAGCUCUAUCAGAAGGGAAGAUGAUGACGGUACCUGACUAAGAAGCCCCGGCUAACUACGUG
rnacentral:rRNA from 1 species